GCGCCCAUAGCUCAGCUGGACAGAGCAACGGACUACGAAUCCGUGUGUCGGGAGUUCGAAUCUCUCUGGGCGCGCCA
rnacentral:tRNA from 5 species